UGGGGAAUAUUGCACAAUGGGCACAAGCCUGAUGCAGCCAUGCCGCGUGUAUGAAGAAGGCCUUCGGGUUGUAAAGUACUUUCAGCGAGGAGGAAGGCGUUGUGGUUAAUAACCGCAACGAUUGACGUUACUCGCAGAAGAAGCACCGGCUAACUCCGUGCCAGCAGCCGCGGUAAUACGGAGGGGGCAAGCGUUAAUCGGAAUAACUGGGCGUAAAGCGCACGCAGGCGGUCUGUCAAGUCGGAUGUGAAAUCCCCGGGCUCAACCUGGGAACUGCAUCCGAAACUGGCAGGCUAGAGUCUUGUAGAGGGGGGUAGAAUUCCAGGUGUAGCGGUGAAAUGCGUAGAGAUCUGGAGGAAUACCGGUGGCGAAGGCGGCCCCCUGGACAAAGACUGACGCUCAGGUGCGAAAGCGUGGGGAGCAAACA
rnacentral:rRNA from 1 species